rnacentral:rRNA from 1 species
CCUACGGGGGGCAGCAGUGAGGAAUAUUGGUCAAUGGACGAGAGUCUGAACCAGCCAAGUAGCGUGAAGGAUGACUGCCCUAUGGGUUGUAAACUUCUUUUAUAUGGGAAUAAAAUGUUCCACGUGUGGGAUUUUGUAUGUACCAUAUGAAUAAGGAUCGGCUAACUCCGUGCCAGCAGCCGCGGUAAUACGGAGGAUCCGAGCGUUAUCCGGAUUUAUUGGGUUUAAAGGGAGCGUAGGGGGAUUGUUAAGUCAGUUGUGAAAGUUUGCGGCUCAACCGUAAAAUUGCAGUUGAAACUGGCAGUCUUGAGUACAGUAGAGGUGGGCGGAAUUCGUGGUGUAGCGGUGAAAUGCUUAGAUAUCACGAAGAACUCCGAUUGCGAAGGCAGUUCACUGGACUGCAACUGACACUGAGGCUCGAAAGUGUGGGUAUCAAACAGGAUUAGAUACCCUAGUAGUC